rnacentral:rRNA from 1 species
UAUGGUCAUAAUACCCUGAACUGAGUUGAUCUUGUCUGAUCUUGGAAGCUAAGCAGGAGUGGGCCUGGCUAGUUUUUGGAUGGGAAAGCACUUGUUCAAGGAGCCAGUACCGUUAAAA